UCAGAUAAAAUUUCGAGUAUCCAUACCCAUUGACAUCCCUACUUUAGUACCCUGUGGUUUAAAGUGUAUCAAGUUAGUACCUGUGGUUUCAAACUUUCUCACUUUAGCACCCUGUGGUUUAAAGUGUAUCAAGUUAGUACUCUACGGUUUCAUUUUUGUAUUAAGUUAGUACCCUGUGGUUUCAUUUUUCUCUUUUCUUAUCCAUUUCGGGGUAGUUUUUUCGUUAAAUUAGUAACAAAGUUAAAACUAAAGGGUACUAAAAUAAAUAUUCGAUAAACUUAGGUAGGGUAUCUGAAGUUUUUUUGUAUAUAAUUUAAAGAAAUAUUAAACCACAGGUGCUAAAGUGAGAAAGUACGAAACCAUAAGGUACUAAUUUGAUACACUUUAAACUAUAGAAUACUAAAGUGAGAAAAUGCGAAACCACAGGGUACUAACUUGAUACACUUUAAACUACAGAAUACUGAAAUGAAAAAGUGCGAAACCAUAGAGGGUAUUUGAAGUUUUCCUUUUGUUUUGAGAGAAAGAGACCG
rnacentral:lncRNA from 1 species